rnacentral:lncRNA from 1 species
GCCCGCCUCCCCUCGACUCCGCUCAGUCCUGAUGCCCCGCCUGCCUUCCUUCGAAUCCCCUGCAGCCCCCUGCGCUCCCUACGUCUCCUUCCCUCCAUCACGGGUCCCCCCAUCUCCCCUAUCCAAAAGGCUGGCGCUCCCCUUUCCCCCUCCCCUUCCCUCCAUCUCUGUGCCCCUCCUGCCACUCUACGCCACCCCUGAAUGCCGAUUUCCCACUCCCUCCCCACCCCCGCUCCGCUCCUUUCCAGGUCUUUGCCCCCCACUCCUUUCGCCUCCCCUCCCCUCCCCCGCGGUGCUGGAGAUGUCAGUGGGCUCUUUCGCUCUUGCUCUCGCUCUCCCUCUCUCUCUCGCUCGCUCUCUGUGUCGAACGGUUGGCUAAGAAGUGCUGGGGCUUUCGCUCAGACUCAAGGGGCCGCCAGGGUGGUGAACGACGCCCCCUGCCACCUGCUCCCCUCCUCAGCAUCCCUACCCCGCCGCCCGGGACGUCCAGCUGAGAUUCCUAUAUCUGGGCAGGCACCGAGGUUGGGGGUGACCUGGUGGCUCCCCUCAGCCCAUCAGGACCGAUGUCCGCGGGGUUGAGGGUGGCCUCCAACGGCAGACGCGCUUGGGCGGCGCCCGAAGGACCGAGUGCGCUCGGCGGGCGACUCCGGCACUCACUGGGCUGAGCCGGGAAGGCUGCGGCUUUGGGCGAGCGCGGCGCUAAAGUCCAUCGGGCCGGGCGGGCUAAAGUUCAGCGAGGAUGCUUUCGGGAUCUGGGAGAGGAAGGAGGGAAGACAAGAGCCCCAGGGAAGAAACCGUCUGUUUUUUGAUGUCUCUGUUUUAAUGGAGGCAACCAGUUCUCAGGAAGACCGAGUUAGGAGUGGCCACCGGCACAGUGCGGCUCAGAAAUGCACAGGUCAAAACCGUGGCUAAGAACGCUGUGUCCGGGUGUCCCGGGGGUGGGGGUGGGGGCUGCCACUUUGUUUAACAUCGGGAUACAAAAUAAUCACUAGGGUAGGGAGAUAUGCUCACCCUGCUUAUUUGUAGGCAAGAAACAAAUGCAAAAACAUAACAUGACAUCGUCUGUAACACCACAGCGCUUACGACGUAGCUCUUUCACUAGACAAAAGCCCAUUUUAUCUUCUGCAAAACCCAUCUGAACCUUUGGAACUUUCAUUUGCGGCAUUUGGGCGCCCUCUGGCUGUGUCUGGAUUGUUUUUACGCUUGCCUACAUCCCUGCAAAGAAAAACCGAUUGAGCUGCUAGUUUUCUUCCUGGAUGGUUCUGCCCUCUUGACCUGGGCUUGGAUUCCAGGGUAGAAAUGUUAUUCAAAAUGAGGUGACAAAAUGUAAGCAUAUUUAUGGGGGCAGACGCCAAAAGCAAGUGCAUCCGCCUUCAACUGGGGAAAGAUCAAGCAUCACAGAUUUCACCCUGUCAGACCAUUCCCAACAAUACUUCUUCCACUGGUCCAUUUAAUGAGAAGGAAAAUGGCUUAAACUGCAAUUCUGUCCAGAAGGCUUGGAAAGCUAGCUUCCCUACAGGACCUUCAAAGAUCCAGGACUUCAAGGUGGGAGAUAUCCAAAGGCCAAGAGGCAGAACAGGGGUUGAUUGAUCAACAGAAGCAACCACCUCCAGGCUCCCUGCCUCCAGCCUUGGCUAGAAACUUACUCUAGAGAAACUGAUCCCAAGAGACACAGGCCUGAAAGUGGGGGAAUCACCUGAGUGUUGGCCUAACGAUAGUGGAACACCCAGCCCACUCCCACAACCCGAUGCCAGAAACAUUCCCAGAACUUGGUGCCUGUACAUUCCUGCAGCCAGAAAACCCCACCCACCCCAUAGGAGAUUGGCGACGUCAUUGGAGAGAGAGUUCCCUCAUGAAAAGGCCAGUUAGCCAAAAUUUUAGUUUGACACCAUUGUGAAGCCUGCUCACCCACAGUUCUGUCCACAGAGAGCUUGCAAAUCGCUUUCAAGACCCCUGUUUAAUUACAAAAGGGCAAUCAAGGAGCACCAAGUUUUAAGAAAAUGUGUAACAAGAAUUAAAGGAGACCGGAGUUCCUGUCGUGGCUCAGUGGUUAACAAACCAGACUAGGAUCCAUGAGGAUGCGGGUUCAAUCCCUGGCCUUGCUCAAUGGGUGGGGGUUCCAGCAUUGCUGUGGUUGUGAUGUAGGCCAGCAGCUGUAGCUCUGAUUCGACCUCUAGCCUGGGAAGGGAACCUCCAUAUGCCAUGGGUAUGGCCCUAAAAAAAAAAAAAAAAAAAAAAAAAAAAAGGACACAUGUUUUAAACAAAUUCCUAGAAAGAAACAGCAUACUGAAUACCGUACUAAUAAAGCAAGCACAGACAAGCCACAGGCAAAUAGCAGGGCAGAUCCACCUGUACUCAGCAUGAGGUAAAACUAAGAGUAAUCAAGUCACCUCUGACAAUAAGCUGGACAAAAAGUUUUAAGUGAGCAGGAAGCUGCAUUGUCAUGAGGAUUUGCACGCACUGUUAUUCAAGAAGAACCCCACCCCAAAUGUGAAACGUGCCUCGAGGGGACAGCUAAUGGCAAGAUCGAGCGCCAUAAUUCACAAGACAUCUAAAAACACUUUCUGUUUCUGCUUAAACUCAUCUUUGAAAA